CCUACGGGAGGCAGCAGUGGGGAAUAUUGCGCAAUGGGCGAAAGCCUGACGCAGCGACGCCGCGUGAGGGAUGAAGGUCUUCGGAUCGUAAACCUCCGUCAGCAGGGAAGAACGGUCACUGUGCUAAUCAGCAGUGAAUUGACGGUACCUGCAAAGGAAGCACCGGCUAACUCCGUGCCAGCAGCCGCGGUAAUACGGAGGGUGCGAGCGUUAAUCGGAAUUACUGGGCGUAAAGCGCUCGUAGGCGGUAUGUCAAGUCAAGGGUGAAAUCCCCGCGCUCAACGUGGGAACUGCCUUUGAAGCUGGCAAACUGGAGUGUGUGAGAGGAUAGUGGAAUUCCAGGUGUAGGAGUGAAAGCCGUAGAUAUCUGGAGGAACAUCAGUGGCGAAGGCGACUAUCUGGCACAUAACUGACGCUGAGGAGCGAAAGCGUGGGUAGCAAACAGGAUUAGAUACCCUUGUAGUC
rnacentral:rRNA from 1 species